rnacentral:lncRNA from 1 species
AUAGUAUUACCUGCUGAUUUGUAACCAAGCCGACUUAAAACUCUAAUAUAUGCGGCUGUAUUUAGGCGAAGAUAUAAUACAACAACUCUAUGAGCACUAUAUGAACAUUCGAACUUAUGCGAUGUCAAAAGUUAUCUUUUGUAGUAUCUUGAUAUAGGAAGAGGUGGUAUUAGUGCCAAUGAGACAACUCUCAAUCUAAAUAACAAUUUAUAAAAGUAAACCAUUAUAGGUCAAAGUACGGCCUUCAACACGGAGCCUUGGCUCACACCAAACAACACGCUAUAAAGGACCCCAAAAUUACUUGUGUAAAACCAUUCAAACGGGAAAACCAACGGUCUAAUCUAUAUUAAAAAAAAAAAAAACGAGAAACGAGAAACACGUAUAAACCACAUAAACAAACGACAACUACUGUACAUUCCUGACUUAGCCUGGAUAGGUGCAAACAUUUGCAGCGGGAUUAAACGUCUUAAUGGUACCAAACCUUCUCCCUUUUUCUGAAACAAUAGUACUACAUCACAACAUAGAAAAACACAAGAUAAAAUAAGAACAUUUGUUUUAAAUACAUGUACUUGUAUUGAAGGAACAUGUCAUUGAAUAAAAUUUUAAAUGCAAUGAUCUGCCACUCCUAAAUAAAACUCAAUAAUAAAUAUAACGGA